UUAAGAAUUGUAAAGCCUUCU
ensembl:piRNA 21ur-2998 ncRNA